CCUACGGGAGGCAGCAGUGGGGAAUAUUGCGCAAUGGGCGCAAGCCUGACGCAGCGACGCCGCGUGAGGGAUGAAGGUCUUCGGAUCGUAAACCUCUGUUAGCAGGGAAGAACGGUCACUGUGCUAAUCAGCAUUGAAUUGACGUUACCUGCAAAGGAAGCACCGGCUAACUCCGUGCCCGCAGCCGCGGUAAUACGGUGGGUGAGAGCGUUGAUCGGCAUUACUGGGCGUAAAGCGCCAGUAGGCGGUAUGUCAAGUCAAGUGUGAAAGCCCCGGGCUCAACGUGGGAACUGCAUUUGAAACUGGUAGACUUGAGUGUGGGAGAGGUGAGUGGAAUUCCAGGUGUAGGAGUGAAAUCCGUAGAUAUCAGGAAGAACAUCAGUGGCGAAGGCGACUAUCUGGAACAUAACUGACGCUGAGGAGCGAAAGCGUGGGUAGCAAACAGGAUUAGAUACCCCUGUAGUC
rnacentral:rRNA from 1 species